GUCUUGCUGGAGAUCCCUGUGUGCCUGAGGCCUUCUGAAGUGGCUGAGUUAGUGCUCCUGCUGACCCUGUCUGUCUGUAGGAGUUUGCAGAUCUCACCAGCAGCAGAGGCAGAGGGACUGGAAGGGGCAGCUUUCUCAGCGCUGACAGAAGUAGCUCUUCCUACAGCAGGGAAGAAGGCAGUGUAAGGGGCUGGGGGAUGCCCAGACCCAUGUGUUUCCCAUGUCUUCUAACAGUGGUCUAUGCUAUUCAUGAACAACUUCUCAAUUGCUGUAAAUAACCAUCACAAAUGGUGCUGAUUAAUGGAAUGGUAAAUAAUUAGGAAGAAUGGAACAGUUACACAAGACUAUUGCCUUCUCGAACAACCAUGCACCUAAGAAGGAAUUAUAAAGCCCAAAUGUAGAGGGUGAAGGAUGGUAUUUGGAGAAGCUCUGUGGAGAAAAAUGGCUGAGGACUGCUUUGUGAGAUAUUUUAAGUACCUUUUUGCCUAAAAGACUGUGAGUAAAUGGAAAUUCAUUAGCAAACAUUCUUGUCUGUGAUGUUAAGCUUAGGGCUUAGGGAAGGCUUCAGGGUUUUAAUACACACUUCCAGGAACAUUGAAAAAUAAGAAUCAGCAGCAUUCUUACACCAAAGGUCAGCAAUUACAGUCUGCAAAGCAGACAAUGAGAAGCAAGCUUGAGCCAAAGAAGGUCUGUCCUUAACUGUUGUUGUUGGCUUUCAGUUGUUGUAGGCUUAAUGCUCAGAAUACUUCCAGUCCGUUGUGUUCCCAAAUUCCUCGGUACUGAGGAUAACAACUGGGGAGUGGUUAACUGAGGGGAAGGGAGCGUUGGGGUUGGUGGGUUGGAUUGUGUUGUUUGGUGUGUGUGAUGUUGUUUCAUUUAUGCAAUCUAAAGCUACUUAGUGUUUCAGAUGUACUCCUCGAACUCCAGAUGUCAGUAUCAAGCAAUGUGUUCUGCCACACCUUAAAUCCAGGGCCCGGACUUCUGAGUAAUAAGAAAAAGCAACAGACUCAAGGUGAAGAAAUUCUUUGGUUUGACCAUGUUUCCAAAAACUGCAAAAUACCACUAGUUGGUGAUAAUUUUCUUGUUGAACGCGU
rnacentral:lncRNA from 1 species